rnacentral:rRNA from 1 species
UGAAGGUUGGGUAACACUAACUGGAGGACCGAACCGACUAAUGUUGAAAAAUUAGCGGAUGACUUGUGGCUGGGGGUGAAAGGCCAAUCAAACCGGGAGAUAGCUGGUUCUCCCCGAAAGCUAUUUAGGUAGCGCCUCGUGAAUUCAUCUCCGGGGGUAGAGCACUGUUUCGGCAAGGGGGUCAUCCCGACUUACCAACCCGAUGCAAACUGCGAAUACCGGAGAAUGUUAUCACGGGAGACACACGGCGGGUGCUAACGUCCGUCGUGAAGAGGGAAACAACCCAGACCGCCAGCUAAGGUCCCAAAGUCAUGGUUAAGUGGGAAACGAUGUGGGAAGGCCCAGACAGCCAGGAUGUUGGCUUAGAAGCAGCCAUCAUUUAAAGAAAGCGUAAUAGCUCACUGGUCGAGUCGGCCUGCGCGGAAGAUGUAACGGGGCUAAACCAUGCACCGAAGCUGCGGCAGCGACACUAUGUGUUGUUGGGUAGGGGAGCG